rnacentral:rRNA from 1 species
UACGGAGGGGGCUAGCGUUGUUCGGAAUUACUGGGCGUAAAGCGCACGUAGGCGGCUUGGUAAGUUAGAGGUGAAAGCCUGGAGCUCAACUCCAGAAUUGCCUUUAAGACUGCCGAGCUAGCAGGUGAGAGAGGUGAGUGGAAUUCCGAGUGUAGAGGUGAAAUUCGUAGAUAUUCGGAAGAACACCAGUGGCGAAGGCGGCUCACUGGCUCGUUUCUGACGCUCAGGCGCGAUAGCGUGGGGAUCAAACAGG